UUUGCUUUUGGUGCGGCAUUAUAAUAUUAAGAAGCAGUUUGGUUCCGGACAAGCCCGCCCUUGUUGCAGGCUGCUUGCGGGUUCCCACGGACGCCAGUGGGCAGACGCGGGUGGCCUGGGCGCAGCGCUCGCUCGGGGAAGCGGGCUAGGGGGCGCCCGGCUGGCUGUGGCCUGGGGUCCCCGCGGUGACCUCGGCUCCCGUGGUGGCCCGACCCGCGGCGCGCUCCUCGGGGUGGUGCAGACUCGGAGACGCCAGCCCCUGCUCCCCGCCAGUUCGCAGGCGGCCUGAGAUUGUUUUCCAAGACCGUAUCGCUCAGUCCAGUCAGUUUUCUCUUUUUUAAAAUUUGGUGACCGGAGUAAAAGUCGCAGGAAAACCCUCUGUGGAUAGCAAAUGCGACCGCAAAUCGGAGCACUUCGCAGUAUUGGUAACAAAAUAUUUGCGGCGCUCCGUAGUUAAAUCGGACCCUUCCGCCAAACUUCCCAAACUUGGCUUUCUUUGAACCAGGCUGGAAAGCGAUCCUUCUAAAGGGGAAUCAGAUGGUGGUAAACAAUUAGAUUCGGCAUGGCUUUUUUUUUUUUUUUUUUUUAAACCUGGUGCUUCAGCUUCUUCAGUCAAAGGCGAGGACCAAGACGAUCCAGAGGAAUACGUGAAUCUCGUCCUGCGCAGAGACAUCCACUUCUAACCCCCCCAUCCCCACCCCCCGGCCAGCUCCACGCCUCCGUUGCAAAAACAAAUGAAAUAAAGCAAAACCUUUUGCUUUGGCAACGCCUAAGCCACAUUA